rnacentral:rRNA from 1 species
GAUGAACGCUGGCGGCGUGCCUAAUACAUGCAAGUCGAGCGAACAGACGAGGAGCUUGCUCCUCUGACGUUAGCGGCGGACGGGUGAGUAACACGUGAAUAACCUACCUAUAAGACUGGGAUAACUUCGGGAAACCGGAGUUAAUACCGGAUAAUAUAUUGAACCGCAUGGUUCAAUAGUGAAAGACGGUUUUGCUGUCACUUAUAGAUGGAUCCGCGCCGCAUUAGCUAGUUGGUAAGGUAACGGCUUACCAAGGCAACGAUGCGUAGCCGACCUGAGAGGGGGAACGGCCACACUGGAACUGAGACACGGUACAGACUCCUACGGGAGGCAGCAGUAGGGAAUCUUCCGCAAUGGGCGAAAGCCUGACGGAGCAACGCCGCGUGAGUGAUGAAGGUCUUCGGAUCGUAAAACUCUGUUAUUAGGGAAGAACAAAUGUGUAAGUAACUAUGCACGUCUUGACGGUACCUAAUCAGAAAGCCACGGCUAACUACGUG